UAAGUCAUAGGUGAUGGAGUUCGCCUUUAAAUGCUUGAAUGCUGAUGACUCCUACAGGUCU
rnacentral:ncRNA from 2 species